UUGAACGCUGGCGGCAGGCCUAACACAUGCAAGUCGAGCGGAUGAAGGGAGCUUGCUCCUGGCUUCAGCGGCGGACGGGUGAGUAAUGCCUAGGAAUCUGCCUGGUCGUGGGGGAUAACGUCCGGAAACGGGCGCUAAUACCGCAUACGUCCUGAGGGAGAAAGUGGGGGAUCUUCGGACCUCACGCUAUCAGAUGAGCCUAGGUCGGAUUAGCUAGUUGGUGGGGUAAAGGCCUACCAAGGCGACGAUCCGUAACUGGUCUGAGAGGAUGAUCAGUCACACUGGAACUGAGACACGGUCCAGACUCCUACGGGAGGCAGCAGUGGGGAAUAUUGGACAAUGGGCGAAAGCCUGAUCCAGCCAUGCCGCGUGUGUGAAGAAGGUCUUCGGAUUGUAAAGCACUUUAAGUGGGGAGGAAGGGCAGUAAGUUAAUACCUUGCUGUUUUGACGGUACCAACAGAAUAAGCACCGGCUAACUUCGUG
rnacentral:rRNA from 1 species